UACGUAGGGUGCGAGCGUUGUCCGGAAUUAUUGGGCGUAAAGAGCUCGUAGGCGGUGUGUCACGUCGGCCGUGAAAACCUGCAGCUUAACUGUGGGCGUGCGGUCGAUACGGGCAUCACUGGAGUUCGGCAGGGAGACUGGAAUUCCUGGUGUAGCGGUGAAAUGCGCAGAUAUCAGGAGGAACACCGAUGGCGAAGGCAGUUCUCUGGGCCGUAACUGACGCUGAGGAGCGAAAGCGUGGGGAGCGAACAGG
rnacentral:rRNA from 1 species